UGAGAGAUGGUUCAAUGGUUAGGACUGCUACCCCCAGAAUGUCCCACAACCUUAUAUAACUCCCAGUCCCAGGGCAUCUGAUGCCCUCUUUGGACCUCCUCAGGCCCCGGGUACACAUGUGGAGCAUAUACAGACAUGCAAGCAAAACACUCAUUCAUACAUACAAAGUAAAAAUAAAUUUUAAAAAAAUGUGAACGUCUUAAAUGGAAAGUCCCAGAAAAGAUCUGAUGGUGCAGGCUCACCUUCACAGGUUGUCUUACUAAAGGGUGGCUGUGUUCAGAAAGGCCCUGUGGGGACCAGGAGCUGCAGAGCAGUGCCUUCUAGCCUUAUUGUAAAUUGGGCUCCAUCAUAAAUGGAAAUGACAGGUUGCUUCUUCUCCUAGUCCCAGUCCAAGGCCUGUUUAACUAAAGCUCUGGUGAUUCUCUGGGGCAGCACACUGAAGAACCAAACCCCAGGCCCAAACGAGCUCAGGUAGCUGUGUCAGCAAACCGAGGCAGAGGAGCUCACCGGCUGUGUACUGUGUCCCAACAACCUCCCACAGUGUGGCAUGUAACUGCCACAGCCAUCUGCCGAAUCUGCAGAACCAGGGCAGCUUCCUCAUUGUCUACAUCUGUCACAAGAGUCCUUUCCUUCCUAGACACAAGGGAUCCAGAAAGCUGUUGGAGCCAUGUCUAACACCAACCAUCUCUCCCAUGGUGGUGCCUUCAGAACCCAGAGAAGAACUUUUUGUCUUGUUACUUUCUCAAUCUGUUACUGUCACUGUUAAUAUCAGCGGCUGUCACCAGGUCCGUAGUGUUGGGAGCCCUUAGAAAGGAAGUGCCCAGGACUGAGCUACCGAGCAGCCAGGAAUCCUGCCACUUCCUGUUGUUGUGUGGCCUUGGGCAAGUCACUUAGCCUCUGAUCCACGUCUGCUUAAUUUGCAUAUGAGCAUAAUUGUUCUCAGGACAUCAGAUGUCUCAGUCAGUCCUGGCUGUGACUGACACACGUGCCAGUCACGGGACACACCACAUUCAGAUAGAAACACUGCCACUCUCAGGACACAGGUGGUUUGCUCCCAGAGCCCCAGAGGCCAUGGGCAGUAUGGCUAGUGUCAGAGUCAGGACCCGAGCUCUGUAACCACACUGGAAACUCCAGCUGAGGAUGGUAACUUACAACUCACAUCCAGCAGCCUGACUUUUACGUUUUUGAGGGGGUUUCUGUCAUUUUUUUUUUGUCAUCUCUUUUUUUUUUUUUUUUUUUUGAGUAAUGAGCACCUUUGUCUUCUGGUAAUUGUGGGCACUGCUAAUGCAGAGGAAAUCAAAGAUUAGGGUCAGGUGACAGUGCACAUUGUUACCUGCCUAGUGAGUUUCAUAUUCUCAUUUUCCUUCCUGCCGUCACAUGAGCAGGUGUGUUAAGAAGCCAUUAUUUUCAUACACACUAUACUGUGUUCCUAAGAACACAGUGUCCUAAUAAACACAGUGUUCCUAAGAACAGCAUUGAGACCCAAGCAAUAUGGGAUUCUUUAUAGGGUUCUCACAAGCACCCAACAACCUACUAAGUAAUGGUAGCUCCACCCAAGUCAACUCCAGUAGGCACUCUGAUGCUGGUCAGCAACCUGUGGACAUUGGCAGUGGCUCCCAGAGCCAUGUAUGCGCGUGCUGUCCUGUUGGGAACAUCUUCCCAAGUACUGGGUGAGGAUGGGCUCAGACGUUCCCUGAGUGGUUUGUACUAUUU
rnacentral:lncRNA from 1 species